rnacentral:sRNA from 1 species
UAACGUCUUGAGGUGCACCGGGAGUU